UACAAGAGUGCAUCGCCUGCAGUAGC
rnacentral:piRNA from 1 species